UUCCUUUUGCUCCCUCCCAGACAUUCACCCAGUGGAUGUCUCACCUUUGUCUGAAGGCAGGACUGAGUUCUUCAGAUCCUGGUGAUGCAAGCACGGGUUUCCCUUUCUCCUGCAAGCACAACUAUAAGUACUUGCUGGAAGUGUGAAGGAGACAAAGAUGAGGAUGGAGGCAGUCCCCCGAGGCAGACCCUGUUCCAGUGCCCAGCUGUGCCAGCGAGGUUCGGCUCUGCCACCAUGGGACUGUGAGCAAACCCAACCGGGCCACGGCAAUGCUGGGCUCCCCUCCUUCCUCUGCUCCUCCAAUCCUUUUUGCAUCAUUCAAUGUACUCCUGUCUAACAGGACUUUAUGUCAUCGUUUUUCCCCAAAGUGGGAAAAAAGGAAAUAAUUAGGGGUGGCAGGUCUAGCCUGGCACGCAGCAACACCAUUAAGCAGGAGGCUGCUACGCUGGGUUGGUCUGGAGCCUCUUUAACAUUUUCAUUAGCUCUCCAAAGCUUUUGAUGUCCCUUAUUUACAACACAGACACUGCAGAGGAGGCAGGCAACGAUUAAGACAAGCUUUUACUCUUCUGGAGUUCACUGGGUACCUCGUGGCUACGGACCCUGCAUAUAAAGCAAUAUUGCUUAUUAUUCCAUGCUGUUUGUUCCAUUAAUCAUGAGCCUGCUUUGCUCUGGGAAGAGGAAUUGGAAUACAGCAAUAUUCUGUCUGCUUGUUUUUAAAAUACACGUGUGGGUGGACACUCCAGCUACUGCUCACAUUUUUCUCUCACAAGAAGAGCUGUUCGUGAUUCUCCUCCCCAGUGUUUUCUUCUGACACUGAUUUUGUUCGUCGAACUCGGGAAGGGAACUGCCUCAAGCCUGUCAACAAGAGUUGUAUGGAAAUAAGGAGUACUAACUGAGAAAUGCUUGAAAUUCAGCA